ACCUGAAAUCAAGCAAGAUCACCCGCUGAACUUAAGCAUAUCAGUAAGCGGAGGAAAAGAAACUAACAAGGAUUGCCUUAGUAGUGGCGAAUGAACCGGCAAUAGCUCAAAGUGUAAAUCUGAGGCAUCAAGUCUUAGAAUUGUAAUCUAUAGGCCUUUUAGGGAAGCCAUGGUUCUAGCAUAAGUUCCUUGAAAAGGGAUGCCAAAGAGGGUAAAAGCCCCGUAUUUGGUUAGGACUGGGUGUACCGAAGGGUUCCAAGAGUCGGGUUGUUUGGGAUUGCAGCCUAAAAUGGGAGAUAAACUUCUUCUAAAGCUAAAUAUUUAUGGGAAACCGAUAGCAAACAAGUACUACGAAGGAAAGAUGAAAAGAACUUUGAAAAGAGGGUUAAAAGACUUGAAAUCGUUGAGGAGAAAAGCGGUAGAAGAGAAAUGAUUUCAUUUAGAAGUAUGUAGUUAUGUAGGUGUCUUCUGCGGUGAUGGUACUUCAUAGGGCCUAGCUGUAGACCGGCGUCGCAUUGCUGCUUUUUCUGGGUGAAGUGCAAAAUGAGGUCUCGCUUGCGGAAACGUCUCUAGGGAGGACUCUGGCCUUGACGCUGGAAGCCCUGGUCUCCAA
rnacentral:rRNA from 2 species